ensembl:snoRNA
CCUGUGCCUUGAUUCAUUGCAUGUUCGGCUGCUGUUUCCCACAUGUGUCAGGAGGCGGCAGAGAGGAGAGAGGCUCUGUCUAUGGCCGUUGUACUGACCUAUGAACAUCUGAAUGAUUACUAGCCUAACAUU